AACGCACCUUGCGCUCUCUGGUAUUCCGGAGAGCAUGCCUGUUUGAGUGUCAUGAACUCUUCAACCCACCUGUUCCUUGUUGAACUGCCGUGGUGCUUGGAUUCUGAACGCUUUGCUAUGUACUUAGCUCGUUCGUAAUACAUUAGCAUCUCAAUUUCGUAAUCGGAUUGACUCAGCGUAAUAGACUAUUCGCUGAGGACACUCUCAAGAGUGGCCGAGACAUGAAGAGUUAGAAGCCUCCAGCCCAUCUAGUCAUAUUCAAGAUUAGACCUCAGAUCAGGCAGGAUUACCCGCUGAACUUAA
rnacentral:rRNA from 1 species